rnacentral:rRNA from 1 species
GUGUCAGCAGCCGCGGUAAUACGUAGGUGGCAAGCGUUGUCCGGAAUUACUGGGCGUAAAGGGCGCGUAGGCGGGAAUUUAAGUCAGGAGUGAAAACUAUCGGCUCAACCGAUAGCCUGCUCUUGAAACUGGAUUUCUUGAGGGUAUGAGAGGAAAGCGGAAUUCCCAGUGUAGCGGUGAAAUGCGUAGAUAUUGGGAGGAACACCAGUGGCGAAGGCGGCUUUCUGGCAUACAACUGACGCUGAGGCGCGAAAGCGUGGGGAGCAAACGGGAUUAGAAACCCCCGUAGUCC